rnacentral:lncRNA from 1 species
UCCCGUAGUAUAUCUGUCCAGAUAUUUAAGUCUGUAUUGUUGACCUGAACGCAUAUGUGUGUUUUUUAGUGGAACAGAUGCAUACUUACUGUAAAUGCAGGAGGUCGUUCCCAACUUCCCAUCGUAUAUUUGUAUAGAUCUUUGCUGUACGGGCCUAAUAUGUACUGUAAAUGCACCUUAACUACUUUUAAAUUUUUUUACUGAUUGUUAUGUGGCUCGUGGUCAUGUACAAAGUCUAACAUGUAUGGAUGUGCAGAUUGAAAAGUUCAUCAGAAUAUUGCACGGGAGGUUCUAUCAUCCACCAUCCAGAUUUUUUGUACGUUUGUUUGUUCAAAUUUUCUUUCUUUUAAGUUUAUAUACAGCGAUUUAAUUUGUAGUUCAACUUAUUUUGCAGAGAGUUUGGUUGGUCUGCUUGGAUAGGGGUUUAGGAGGUGCUUUCAGGUAGAGCUAAAGACUUUGUAAUGUGCAAUUUAGCACCUUCAUAGUAGUAUUUGUAAGAUUUUUUAUGAUAAAAAAUAAUGUAUUUUCGAAAGAUUUAUGACUGAAGUUUUCCUUUCAUUUUGGUUACACAUUCUUUGCAGUUCUCUCCCUCUCUCUCUCUCUCUCUCUCUCUCUCUCUCUGUGUGUGUGUAUGUGAUUACACAUGACUUGAUGGUGAUUAGUCUGAAAUAUUUGUGAAGCGAGGCUAUGUCUACAGGUUUUGCGGUUCUUUGUAGACAUGCCCAAGGUUACUUUAGGAUUUCUUGGUGGAUUCCAUUCUAAAUCCUCUUUGUUAAAAUAAUAUAUAAGCUAAUGUCAGUUUUUUUUUUUUUUGCUUUCACCCACCUGAUAGAAGACACGCAAUAGGAACAUAGAAGCAUGUGUAGUAUCGAAUUUGCAGUUGGAUAUAGUACUUUUAUCUUAACCUUUUUAAAUUCAAGAAUAACUUAUUUCUCCCUGAGUGCAUUUUAUCAUGCUAUGUUCCCUUGCUAUUUCUCCUACAUUGUUUGACUACCUAGCUCUAAAAAGUCAGUAUUGACUCAAUUUUCCAGGGCUGGGUUAGUAUCCUAAUAUUUUGAACAAGAGGUCUGUGAAUAGUUUUGAUACGCUACAUUGUAAAGUUUUCGUUUGAGGUCAAGCUUAUUUUUGCUUUUGAUUCCAACAGAGUACACAACACAAUUUAUUAUUUUCUGACUCAUUCAUUGUUUAUGCAGAUCUAGAUAACUUUGGUACGGAGUGUUGUGUUUAUAUUAAGUUGAUUUUCAGUGAUGUUUGAAAAUUUCCACAAACACGAUUCUUUGGUUUCCAGUGGCCAUUUUAAGAAGAUGAUCUAUUCAUGCUUUUAAAUUUGUCGAUUCAAUCCACCAACUAAAUAAGUAGCUGGCGUACACUGUAUGUUGUUAGCAAACCAUCAGCAAAGCCUCGGAUAUUGUGCCUUGGCCAGUAAGCUUGCUCCAACCAAGAAUAUGAAGAGGCAGACACGUGAGACAUCUAAGGGGAAACUGUGGGCAUGGUUUGCUUGUGAGCUGUGUUUAAUUUGCGAUGUAUAGUUGUAUGUGAUGUAACCAACCUUAAUAUCCGCAAGUGGCACUUUUAGUUUCCCUUCUUUUUGCUGAUGAGUUUCAUUUUCAAUGGAAAAUAGAACUGAGCAGUUCCUCCCUAUUCUAAAAACCUGUUUGUUCUGUUAGAAAAUUAUUCUUCUAGAAGAAGUGAGCAUCACACAUAGUUGUCC